CAAUAGCGUAUAUUUAAGUUGUUGCGGUUAAAAAGCUCGUAGUUGGAUUUCUGCUGAGAACGACCGGUCCGCCCUUUGGGUGUGUAUCUGGCUCUUUCUUGGCAUCUUCUUGGUGAACGUUGCUGCACUUGACUGUGUGGAGCGCUACCCAGGACUUUUACUUUGAGGAAAUUAGAGUGUUUCAAGCAGGCAUACGCCUUGAAUACAUUAGCAUGGAAUAAUAAGAUAGGACCUCGGUUCUAUUUUGUUGGUUUCUAGAGCUGAGGUAAUGAUUAAUAGGGAUAGUUGGGGGCAUUCGUAUUUAACUGUCAGAGGUGAAAUUCUUGGAUUUGUUAAAGACGGACUACUGCGAANGNAUUUGCNAAGGAUGUUUNCAUUG
rnacentral:rRNA from 1 species